AAUAACACACCUGCAGCUUUCUCGGUUCUGCUUAGCCAGCUGUGUCCGAAGCACUGACUGACAGGAAAAAUACAGCAUUCCGGACUCCAAGGGGAGGAGAGAACAAAAGAAGAGGACAUCUGCCAAGUUAGGGGUGUUGCUGGUCCUUCUUUCACCAUCAAUCAAGAUUUUGCUGCAUUCCU